UACGAAGGGUGCUAGCGUUGUUCGGAAUUACUGGGCGUAAAGCGCGUGUAGGCGGGCCGUUAAGUCGGGGGUGAAAGCCCAGAGCUCAACUCUGGAAUUGCCUUCGAUACUGGCGGCCUGGAGCAUGAUAGAGGCGAGUGGAAUUGCGAGUGUAGAGGUGAAAUUCGUAGAUAUUCGCAGGAACACCAGUGGCGAAGGCGACUCGCUGGAUCUUUGCUGACGCUGAGACGCGAAAGCGUGGGGAGCAAACAGG
rnacentral:rRNA from 1 species